rnacentral:rRNA from 1 species
GACGAACGCUGGCGGCGUGCUUAACACAUGCAAGUCGUACGGUAAGGCCCUUUCUUGGGUGCACGAGUGACGAACGAGCGAGUAAGACGUGAGUGACUUACCCACACCUUUCGGAUAGAGAUAGGCAACUGGUGCGAGUUCUGACUAUGUUCGCCUGCCGCAUGCUGGGGGUGGGUUAGAUCCGGCGGUUGGUGGUGGAUGGGCGGCCUACCUGCUGGUUUGUGGGGUGGGGGCUUACCAAGGCGGGGUUGGGUAGCCGGCCUGGGAGGGUGACCGGCCACAUGGGGCCUGAGAGCCGGCCCGGACCCCUACGGGAGGCAGCAGUGGGGAUUAUGGCACAAUGGGCGGAAGCCUGAUGCAGCAACGCCGGGUGCGGGUGGACGGCUUUCGGGUGGUAAACCGCUUCCGCCUGUGACGAACCGUGAGUGACGGUAAUGGGUAAAGAAGCACCGGCUAACUACGUG